GGAGGAGAGCUGCCCAGCCUGGGGCCUCAGGGAGCAGAAGCAGGGCACCUCCACCAUGGCCUGGACCCCUCUCCUCCUCGGCCUCCUUGCUCACUGCACAGGCUCUGUGUCCUCCUAUGAGCUGACACAGUCAUCCUCGGUGUCGGUGCAGCUGGGACAGACGGCCAGGAUCACCUGUGGGGGAAACAGCAUUGGAGAUAAAUAUGCUUACUGGUACCAGCAGAAGCCCGGCCAGGCCCCUGUGCUGGUCAUCUACAGGGAUAGCAACCGGCCCUCAGGGAUCCCUGACCGGUUCUCAGGCUCCAACUCGGGGAACACGGCCACCCUGACCAUCAGCGGGGCCCAGGCCCAGGACGAGGCUGACUACUACUGUCAAGUGUGGGACAGCAGUAAUGAUGCUCACAGUGACACAGGCAGAUGGAGAAGUGAGACAAAAACCUAA